CCUUGUUCAUUGGAGCCAGCAGCUGCCUCUCCGCCUCCUUCCGGCUGAUCGACCUAAAGAACCACCUAGAAAAGGGCAAAGGCAGCGAGCCUCAGAGAGCGGCCGCGCUGCCUGGAGCAUUCUAGUCCAUGCACCUUUUAGGCUCAGCCACUCCUGUUCCCUGUUAACCCUGCCCCUCCGUCCCUCUGACCCUAUCCCACCCCAUUUCCUAUCGGCCGCUGGACUUGCUGUCUUCCUGAAAUGAAAAGACAGCAUAGUUUGUACGACCUCUGCAAAAAUGCUCCAGAUGGACGGCCCUUCCCCACAGUGCAGGUGGCACACAAGGGCAGGCGCCCGCUCUGUAGCUCUGUCUGAAUGACUGAGAUGCCAGACGCUGGCCUGGGCUCCCUCUGUGUUCAGCAGGGGCUUCUCGAUGUGGAGGUGCCCUAGCUUCCCGCACAUGGUUCUGGGACAGACAUGAGACCAAAUGUCAACCACUGUGACACCUUCUGCAUCCUGGGAGAGCGAACUGCACACCUGCACCAAGCCUGCACCCACUCAGGGUCUCUGCUUGGUUCCUGGGGAGACACUGGGCGCCUGACGUCAUGGAGGGAGUCGCUGGUUCUCAGCUCCCGGGCAUUCUGUUCUUCUCCACCCUGGAGGACCCAUCCUACUGUCCAAGGCAGACGCCCCCUUCUUACCGCGGUCGGGGUGCUCCUCGGGUGGUGGAGGGGUGAGGUGAUUGAAGACCACCUUGGGCAGAAACACACACACUCCAAGUUAGUGCAGCUCCUGCUGCUGAACCCGGAUGUCUCGAGAGGAAACUCUAGAGCAUGUCAGCCAGACCACCGUGGGGUCCGCUCUGAGGAAGAGGGUGGCCGCCUUUGGAAUUUCCAUACAUGCUGCUCCCCAGGUGCCAGCGCCGCCCCUAGACAAGCCCCAGACCAUCUGGCAUCUGGCCCUGACCACAGUAGACAUGCCCCAUCUUUGAAGGGAGAAAAAAAAAAAUCAGUCACCAGGAUUAAAAUCCUGGUUCUAUCAUUCAAAGUUGUGAAGUGGUAUUUGGUGACAUGGAAAGAUACUUAGGGAAUAGAUUCCCUAAAACUCAACAAACAUUCUCAUACAUAUGUAGCCUGUGGGUCAGCUGUGGCACACGGAUACCACAAAACACAACGAGAGUGCUCCGAGUAAUGGCAAGAAUGGUAAUACCUAGCGCAUUUUAAAAUGUGGGGGUCACCCUGGUGACCCAUGACGGAGGAUUGGACAAGCUGAAGUAGAGCUGUGCAGUGGGAUGAACGAGCUGCAGGGAUACCUGUUUGUUGCACAGGUGAACCGCGACAACGUAAUGCAGAGCCCAACCCGCGUCCCAGAAGAACACGGGGUGCUGGAUUCAGUUGGUGUAAAGUUCAUGAUGUGAAAAAUGAACCUGUGUAUUGUUUAGGGGAAAUGCAUACGUGGUGACAAAAAAGGAAAGAUAAACAGGUUUGGAAUGCGGGGGUCUGGGGUGAAGAGGACAGGCUGGGUAGGUAGAGAGUCAGGGAAUGAGUCACUUUUGAUUUUUGAGGAUGAGGAUUUAUUUCUUAGUAUGCGAACACUUUUUUUUGUGGGAUUGUAUUCUCUCAACCUGACGUAGGUAUUAUAAAUCUUACUUUUUUAUUCCAUACUUAUUGGACACAGUUUUGAAGUGGUUUUGCAAAAUGGUGGCACCAUGUGGUUCCAUUAAAAACUCGUUCAUGUGAUAGAAUGAAUGCAUAGGAAAAGGGACUGGAGGCAGAACCUCUGAGGAGAUGACUCCUGGUAUUUCUAGGAAGUGAAAUGAUGAGAAGUUAUCAUCAUCUUGUUUCCCAUGAUCCACCACGAUUAUGUGGCUUGCUUUUUUUUGUACCAGGGAUUGCACCCAGGGGUCCUUAACCACUGAGCCACAUCCGUGGCCUUAUGUGUUUAUUUUAAUUUGAUUUUUUAAGUUAUACGUUACAGUAGAAUGUACUUUGGUAAAUUAUACAUACAUAGAGUGUAUUCUAUUCAGGAACCAACUUCCUCAAUAAGACUCCUAAAGUGUAAGAAGUAAAAUUAGGAAUCAAUGAAUGGGAUGGUUAUCAAUCUGAAAAGCUUACAGCAGAGGAAACAAUCAAGAAUGUGAACAGAGAUCCUAUAGAAUGGGAGAGAAAUCUUCGCCACCUGUACCUCAGAUAUGGCAUGAAUUUCCAGGAUAUAAACACUCAAAAGACAGCACCUGUCAUUCUCCAAAGUCCCUCGGCUGUGUGCUGAGCCCUGUGCUGCACAGGGACACAGAGAAGAUGCCCAGGGUCACACGUGGAACCGGGUCGGCAGUUCCUACACCCUAAUGGGUCCAUAUUAGAUGAAAUGAUGACCACGUGAACAUGCCCAUGGUGGGCACCAAGCAGAACAGGGGUCCAGGUGCCACUCUCCCGUACCCUAAACCAAAAGGAGGCUCUGCGGUUGGGCAGCGGGGAGGUGUCAGUCAUCCAAAAUCACGCCCCGGAGGGGCAGGUUCAGGGAGCCCUGGGUGCACUGGGCUCUCUUUCCCACUCCCUCCCCCGCUCUGAGGGGCUGGGCACUCACCAGGGGUGGCAGUGGUGGGGGGUCUUUGCUCUGGGUGCCGAUCUUCAAGGGGCUCCAGCCCUUGCCCUUCUCAGUGACCUGCCUCUUGCUGCUGAGCAGACCCAUCCUGUAGGGAGCACAGCAGAUGGAUUGUGAGACCGUGGAGGAGCCACCGCAACCAGCUUCAACCAGAAAGCUUGGCGGGCGGAGGUGGGGCUGCAAGGCCUCAGAGUCAGAGAGUUAGGGGGGCCGGGUGAGCCAAGAUCGCAUCCAUCUACCUUCCUUCCUUCCUUCCUUCCUUCCUUCCUUCCUUCCUUCCUUUCCUCUUCUUUUUUUUUUUUUGGUGGGGGUGCCCAGAGAAAAGAAAUGACUGCAUUGAGACAAAAAAUGACCUGGCCUGGUGCCGUGGCCAGAAACUGCUGGGCUGGGUCCUAGGCCCUGGGACAGGAAGCUGGGCAGGGAGGCCACACUGGGUUCCAGAGGAGCCUGACCUACCUGUCCGGUGCCUGGGCUCUAGUCUUAGUUUUGCCAGUGGGCAGGCUGUGUCACUAGGAAAGUCACAGUUCCCGGGGCCCGUGGGCUCCUUUGUGGAUGCCAAAGCUUUGUUAGGAUGUUUCUACCCUCCUUUCCAGAUCAGAUUUCAGGUGGACACCCUGCGUUUAGGCAUUGGGCCAACUGCAGCUUCUCAGAAAUAUCAAGAAUCUUCUUUACCCGGGCAUGGUGGCACACACCUGUAAUCCCAGCAGCUCGGGAGGCUGAGGCAGGAGGAUCAGGAGUUCAAAGCCAGCCUCAGCAACUCAGUGAGACCCUAAGCAACUCAAUGAGGCCCUGUCUCUAAAUAAAAUACAAAAAAGGUCUGGGGAUGUGGCUUAGUGGUUGAACGCCCCUGAAUUCGAUCCCCAAUACACCCCUUCCCCCAAAAUCUUCUUUAGAGGUGAGAAAAGCACAGUUAAGGCUAUUCUUCAGAAAAUAAUCAUAGUUUGGCAGUCAGGGGAAGACCAGAGACCAUUCCCUCCACACCACCCACCGGUCACCACUGUGCGGCUGCCAGGGCGACUGCUCAGGGCCGGGGCUGUUCAGUGUUCAUCGGUUGUCUAUGGCCCGUGCAGAACUGGCCCUGGAGCCCCCGUCUAACCCGAGACCACCACAGCCCCACAUGCACAUCUGGCCAUCCACAGGAUGUCCACUGCCAAGGGGAAGCCCCAAGUCACUACUCUUGCUGAGGGGCAUGUGAGCGAAUUCCUUCAGGCGAGGAUACGGUAUUCCAUCCAUUCUAAGACGCACCUUCUCCCCAUUUCAACAUCUCUGAAACCAGGAGGAGUCUUACGAUCCUCGGUGCAUUGUAGUAUGAUCGCUAACAGCUUUUCCUGUUUUAGCAAUACAUGAAAUAAAUGCUAGCUCCCUAGAGUGGUGCCUUAGAUUCAGUGAAAUACACAUCGCUCCUCAAACUCAUCUUGAAAAAAGAAAAGACUAUAAUAAUUUUGUAUAUAGAACAGAGCCACAGCAACUAACCACAGUCUGGUUUUUUUUGUUUGUUUUUUAGUAUGUCUUGCCAUAGAACACCUAAAGCUUUACAUUUUUAAAGAAAACUACUUUUUAUAUUUAAAGGUUCUUUAUGUUAAUUCAUAUCAGCUUUACCACCAGAUCACUCAUGGUACAAAAAUUACAAGCAACACUUCAUCUUGCAGAGAUUUUUUUCCCCCAGAAGUUUGAAUAUGGGAUUACGGGUUUGUAUUAGGAACACCUACUGAAUUUGAACAGGUCUUUGAUUAGUAUCUAUCAUACUUUGUUCUUCUUUGUUGACACAAUGAAUUUUGUUGGUAAAUUUUCUGAUAACGAAAUAUCUUUGCAUUCCUGAAUAAAAGCUGUGUGGUUAUACUAUGUUGCCCUUUUUGACAGGCAAAUGGACUAUAUUUGCUAGUAUCUUCUUUAGAACCUACAUUUCCAAGGGGGAUUUGUAUGUGGCAUUAGCACUAAGGUGCUGCUGGCUUCAUCAUGUAUUCUGGGGAGCUCUACACCUUUUCUGUGGUCCCGAGUAGCUUAUUAGCAUUGGGAUUACCUGUUCUUUAAAGGCUGGGUAGGACAUAGCCAUUAUAUCACAUGUUCCUGGGGCUUACUCAAAUGGUGGAUCUUCACAUGCAUCUCUCAUUUCUCGUACAGGAAUUGUCUCACUUUCCCUCCUCUUUGUGCCAGUUUGAUGAGUUGUAUGAUUUAUAGGAGACCUUUGAUUUCUUCUACAGUUCUCAAUUUGUUGCCAUAAAGUUUUGUGUAGUGUUGUUUUUUAUUUUAAUUAAUUUAUUUUUUUGGCAGUGCUGGGAUUGACCCCAGAUUGCAUGUGCUAGGCGAGCAUGCUACGGCUGAGCCACAUUCCCAUUCUUGGUAGCAUUGUCUUGUAACUCUUGAUUACGGCUUCUUUCUUGAUCCUAAUAUAAAUUGAAUGUACUUUCUACUCUAAUUAAAAUUCCAAUUGAAUAAAA